rnacentral:rRNA from 1 species
GAUCAUGGCUCAGGAUGAACGCUAGCUACAGGCUUAACACAUGCAAGUCGAGGGGAAACGACAUCGAAAGCUUGCUUUUGAUGGGCGUCGACCGGCGCACGGGUGAGUAACGCGUAUCCAACCUGCCUACCACUUGGGGAUAACCUUGCGAAAGUAAGACUAAUACCCAAUGACAUCCCACGAAGACAUCUGAAUGGGAUUAAAGAUUUAUCGGUGAUGGAUGGGGAUGCGUCUGAUUGG